GGUCAGGAUGAACGCUAGCUACAGGCUUAACACAUGCAAGUCGAGGGGCAGCAUUGGGGUAGCAAUACUCAGAUGGCGACCGGCGCACGGGUGAGUAACACGUAUCCAACCUGCCGCUUACUCGGGGAUAGCCUUUCGAAAGAAAGAUUAAUACCCGAUGGUAUAAAGAGUUCGCAUGUUCUCUUUAGUUAAAGAAUUUCGGUAAGCGAUGGGGAUGCGUUCCAUUAGAUAGUUGGCGGGUACGGCCCACCAAGUCUACGAUGGAUAGGGGUUCUGAGAGGAAGGUCCCCCACAUUGGAACUGAGACACGGUCCAAACUCCUACGGGAGGCAGCAGUGAGGAAUAUUGGUCAAUGGACGAGAGUCUGAACCAGCCAAAAGUAGCGUGAAGGAUGACUGCCCUAUGGGUUGUAAACUUCUUUUAUAAGGGAAUAAAGUGAGGGACGUGUCCCUUUUUGUAUGUACCUUAUGAAUAAGGAUCGGCUAACUCCGUGCCAGCCGCCGC
rnacentral:rRNA from 1 species